GUGGGGAAUUUUGGACAAUGGGCGCAAGCCUGAUCCAGCAAUGCCGCGUGUGUGAAGAAGGCCUUCGGGUUGUAAACUGCUUUUGUACGGAACGAAACGGUCCGGGUUAAUACCCUGGGCUAAUGACGGUACCGUAAGAAUAAGCACCGGCUAACUACGUGUCAGCAGCCGCGGUAAUACGUAGGGUGCAAGCGUUAAUCGGAAUUACUGGGCGUAAAGCGUGCGCAGGCGGUUUUGUAAGACAGGCGUGAAAUCCCCGGGCUCGACCUGGGAAUUGCGCUUGUGACUGCAAGGCUGGAGUGUGGCAGAGGGGGAUGGAAUUCCGCGUGUAGCAGUGAAAUGCGUAGAUAUGCGGAGGAACACCGAUGGCGAAGGCAAUCCCCUGGGCCUGCACUGACGCUCAUGCACGAAAGCGUGGGGAGCAAACAGGAUUAGAUACCCUGGUAGUCC
rnacentral:rRNA from 1 species